AACACUGAGUAUUUAGACGAAGAAAAAGUUAGCCAGCGUCAAGGACGAACGAUAGAGAGUCCUUUACGCGUUCAAAAAGUGUGCUAACACAUGAUAGUCUGAAUGUUGAGUGUUGAAUAUCUGAUUAGUGGCGGACGGGUGAGUAACGCGUGGGAAACCUGCCUGGAAGACAGGGAUAACGAUUCGAAAGGGUCGCUAAUACCUGAUAAUAUCCUUUCAUCGCAUGGUGAUAGGAAGAAAGGGGAAACCCGCUUUCAGAUGGGCCCGCGUCCCAUCAGCUAGUUGGUAAGGUAAAGGCUUACCAAGGCGACGACGGGUAGCCGGUCUGAGAGGAUGUACGGCCACACUGGGACUGAGAUACGGCCCAGACUCCUACGGGAGGCAGCAGUGGGGAAUCUUCCGCAAUGGGCGAAAGCCUGACGGAGCAACGCCGCGUGGGUGAAGAAGGCCUUCGGGUUGUAAAGCCCUGUCUUAUGGGACGAGGAGGAGACGGUACCAUAGGAGGAAGCCACGGCUAACUACGUG
rnacentral:rRNA from 1 species